rnacentral:rRNA from 1 species
GGCGCGGCCUCGCUGCGGCCGCCUCACGGUGUGCCGCCGGCGACCGCGCCAUCCUUGCGGGGACGCGCCGGCAUUAACUUGUCGGCGUCGACCCGCAUCCUUUACUGUGAAAAAAUUAGAGUGUUUAAAGCAGGCUUGCCGCUUGAAUACAUUAGCAUGGAAUAAUGAGAUAGGACUUCGGUGCUAUUUUGUUGGUUGCGUACCGAGGUA